ACGUGAUUUUGCUGUAAAAACCCUUCACACCCGAUUACAUUUGAGAGGAAAACUGUGGUCUGAAUUUCAUUUUUAGCAAACAGACUUCAAAAGCAAGCUCUCUAUUCAACAGCGAUGGAUUUCACUGCCUAUGAAGACAUACGAAAUUGGGCGUGGCUUGGUCUUCCACCAAGUUGGCUGAAGGGAUAUGGGUUGCUGAAGAGUGAAGACCGAGCAAAUUGGUGACUUUGGGGAAGUCUUUGUACAGCAGUGGACGCCUUUCGGCUAAAACGACGACGAUAAAGGAUCUGAUAUUUACACCCUAUGACUUGAGUACAGGGCAGGAAGACGAUGAUGAUGAUUUAUACCUUAUUUCUUUAAUUAAAUGAUUAUAUUACA
rnacentral:lncRNA from 1 species